UACGAAGGGGGCUAGCGUUGCUCGGAAUUACUGGGCGUAAAGCGCACGUAGGCGGCUUUCUAAGUCGGAGGUGAAAUCCUGGAGCUCAACUCCAGAACUGCCUUCGAUAAUGGAGAGCUCGAGUCCGGGAGAGGUGAGUGGAACUGCGAGUGUAGAGGUGAAAUUCGUAGAUAUUCGCAAGAACACCAGUGGCGAAGGCGGCUCACUGGCCCGGUACUGACGCUGAGGUGCGAAAGCGUGGGGAGCAAACAGG
rnacentral:rRNA from 1 species